rnacentral:rRNA from 1 species
CCUUCGGGUGUGAAUUAGCGGCGAACGGGUGAGGAACACGUGAGAAAUCUGCCUUCAACUCUGGGAUAACUCCGUGAAAACGGGGCUAAUACCGGAUAUGAGAUCUACAGGCAUCUGUGGAUCUGGAAAGUUUUUCGGUUGAAGAUGAUCUCGCGGCCUAUCAGCUUGUUGGUGAGGUAAUGGCUCACCAAGGCGACGACGGGUAGCCGGCCUGAGAGGGCGACCGGCCACACUGGGACUGAGACACGGCCCAGACUCCUACGGGAGGCAGCAGUGGGGAAUAUUGGGCAAUGGAGGAAACUCUGACCCAGCGACGCCGCGUGCGGGAUGAAGGCCUUCGGGUUGUAAACCGCUUUCAGCAGGGAAGAAGCGAAAGUGACGGUACCUGCAGAAGAAGCACCGGCUAACUAUGUGCCAGCAGCCGCGGUAAUACAUAGGGUGCAAGCGUUGUCCGGAAUUAUUGGGCGUAAAGAGCUCGUAGGUGGUUCGUCACGUCGGAUGUGAAACUCUGGGGCUUAACCCCAGACCUGCAUUCGAUACGGGCGAGCUUGAGUAUGGUAGGGGAGUCUGGAAUUCCUGGUGUAGCGGUGGAAUGCGCAGAUAUCAGGAGGAACACCAAUGGCGAAGGCAGGACUCUGGGCCAUUACUGACACUGAGGAGCGAAAGCGUGGGGAGCGAACAGGAUUAGAUACCCUGGUAGUCCACGCCGUAAACGGUGGGCACUAGUUGUGGGGACCUUCCACGGUCUCUGCGACGCAGCUAACGCAUUAAGUGCCCCGCCUGGGGAGUACGAUCGCAAGAUUAAAACUCAAAGGAACUGACGGGGCCCCGCACAAGCAGCGGAGCAUGCGGCUUAAUUCGACGCAACGCGAAGAACCUUACCAAGGCUUGACAUAUACAGGAAUAUGGCAGAGAUGUCAUAGC